rnacentral:rRNA from 1 species
UGGGGAAUAUUGCACAAUGGGCGCAAGCCUGAUGCAGCCAUGCCGCGUGUAUGAAGAAGGCCUUCGGGUUGUAAAGUACUUUCAGUCGGGAGGAAGGUGGUAAGGUUAAUAACCUUAUCAAUUGACGUUACCGACAGAAGAAGCACCGGCUAACUCCGUGCCAGCAGCCGCGGUAAUACGGAGGGUGCAAGCGUUAAUCGGAAUUACUGGGCGGAAAGCGCACGCAGGCGGUUUGUUAAGUCAGAUGUGAAAUCCCCGGGCUCAACCUGGGAACUGCAUCUGAUACUGGCAAGCUUGAGUCUCGUAGAGGGGGGUAGAAUUCCAGGUGUAGCGGUGAAAUGCGUAGAGGUCUGGAGGAAUACCGGUGGCGAAGGCGGCCCCCUGGACGAAGACUGACGCUCAGGUGCGAAAGCGUGGGGAGCAAACAGG